UGUCUCCUCCAGUUUUCUCCGAAAAUUGGAUUUGCCGCCCGCCAACCAACAGGUUCUGCGGGCGUUUUUUU
rnacentral:ncRNA from 1 species